rnacentral:rRNA from 1 species
UUGCGGUUAAAAAGCUCGUAGUUGGAUCUCGGCAAGUAGAGGGCGGUAUGCUUCGUAGCAUUACUGCCCUAUUACUUGUAGUUUUGCCAGAGGUUCCUGGGUGCUCUUAAUCGAGUGUCUAGGGAUGCUGGCAGGUUUACUUUGAAAAAAUUAGAGUGCUCAAAGCAGGCUAUUACGCUUGAAUAUUCGUGCAUGGAAUAAUAGAAUAGGAAGUUGUUUCUAUUUUGUUGGUUUUCGGAAAUCGACUUAAUGAUUAAUAGGGACAGUCGGGGGCAUUUGUAUUCAAACGACAGAGGUGAAAUUCUUGGACCGUUUGAAGACAAACUACUGCGAAAGCAUUUGCCAAGAAUGUUUUCAUUAAUCAAGAACGAAAGUUAGAGGUUCGAAGGCGAUUAGAUACCGCCCUAGUUCUAACCAUAAACGAUGCCAGCUAGCGAUCUGAGGACGUUUUUUUUGUAGACUCCUCAGGAAGCUUCCGGGAAACCAAAGCGUGUGGGUUCCGGGGGAAGUAUGGUUGCAAAGCUGAAACUUAAAGGAAUUGACGGAAGGGCACCACCAGGAGUGGAGCCUGCGGCUUAAUUUGACUCAAC